AGAAUCAACGCUGGCGGCGUGCCUAACACAUGCAAGUCGCACGAGAAAGGGUAGCAAUACCUGAGUACAGUGGCGCACGGGUGAGUAACACGUGAAUCAUCUACCUUCGAGUGGGGAAUAACUGAGAGAAAUCUUAGCUAAUACCGCAUAAUACCCACGGGUCAAAGCAGCAAUGCGCUUGAAGAGGAGUUCGCGGCAGAUUAGUUAGUUGGCGGGGUAAUGGCCCACCAAGACGAUGAUCUGUA
rnacentral:rRNA from 1 species